rnacentral:rRNA from 1 species
GAUGAACGCUGGCGGCGUGCCUAAUACAUGCAAGUCGAGCGAACGGACGAGAAGCUUGCUUCUCUGAUGUUAGCGGCGGACGGGUGAGUAACACGUGGAUAACCUACCUAUAAGACUGGGAUAACUUCGGGAAACCGGAGCUAAUACCGGAUAAUAUUUUGAACCGCAUGGUUCAAAAGUGAAAGACGGUCUUGCUGUCACUUAUAGAUGGAUCCGCGCUGCAUUAGCUAGUUGGUAAGGUAACGGCUUACCAAGGCAACGAUGCAUAGCCGACCUGAGAGGGUGAUCGGCCACGCUGGAACUGAGACACGGUCCAGACUCCUACGGGAGGCAGCAGUAGGGAAUCUUCCGCAAUGGGCGAAAGCCUGACGGAGCAACGCCGCGUGAGUGAUGAAGGUCUUCGGAUCGUAAAACUCUGUUAUUAGGGAAGAACAUAUGUGUAAGUAACUGUGCACAUCUUGACGGUACCGAAUCAGAAAGCCACGGCUAACUACGU